GUGCCAGCAGCCGCGGUAAUACGGAGGGUGCAAGCGUUGUUCGGAAUUACUGGGCGUAAAGGGCGCGUAGGUGGUUGUGUAAGUCAGAUGUGAAAUCCCGAGGCUCAACUUCGGAACUGCAUCUGAUACUGCAUGACUCGAGUGCAGCAGAGGGAAACGGAAUUCCUGGUGUAGAGGUGAAAUUCGUAGAUAUCAGGAGGAACACCGGUGGCGAAGGCGGUUUCCUGGGCUGACACUGACACUGAGGCGCGAAAGCGUGGGUAGCAAACAGGAUUAGAAACCCGCGUAGUCC
rnacentral:rRNA from 1 species